rfam:Pseudomonas floridensis strain GEV388 GEV-388_contig_20, whole genome shotgun sequence.
GUAUGGGUCACCGCAAGGUUUCUGGCCUCAACGCCAGACCGUAUUCUGCGGUUCGCGCGUCGAACCGUAACCGGCAAGUCCGGAUUUAUAACCGGCCGGUGCAUUCACCGGG